ACAACCUCAACUCCCCUCUCUUUGCGGAAAGGGUUGUUGGAUUUGAGCACUUUCCACCAAGUUCACAUUGUGGACUUGGAGGAUGCUUGAAAUAUGAGGUUCGGCUGGCAAUUGCCUGGGCUACAAGCAUUUCAUACUUAAUCCCGUCAAACGGAUUAUAUCCUUUGCUGCAGCCAACAUACAGGGCAACUGUCCAGUUCCGACUGAUGCAGGAAAGUUGAGGACUUGUUCCUCUUCGAA
rnacentral:misc_RNA from 1 species